GACGAACGCUGGCGGCGUGCUUAACACAUGCAAGUCGAACGGAAAGGCCCUGCUUUUGUGGGGUGCUCGAGUGGCGAACGGGUGAGUAACACGUGAGUAACCUGCCCUUGACUUUGGGAUAACUUCAGGAAACUGGGGCUAAUACCGGAUAGGAGCUCCUGCUGCAUGGUGGGGGUUGGAAAGUUUCGGCGGUUGGGGAUGGACUCGCGGCUUAUCAGCUUGUUGGUGGGGUAGUGGCUUACCAAGGCUUUGACGGGUAGCCGGCCUGAGAGGGUGACCGGCCACAAUGGGACUGAGAUACGGCCCAGACUCCUACGGGAGGCAGCAGUGGGGAAUAUUGCACAAUGGGCGGAAGCCUGAUGCAGCAACGGCGCGUGCGGGAUGACGGCCUUCGGGUUGUAAACCGCUUUCGCCUGUGACGAAGCGUGAGUGACGGUAAUGGGUAAAGAAGCACCGGCUAACUACGUG
rnacentral:rRNA from 1 species